AGGUGGUAACGUGUACGUGGUACCGGAAAGAAGUUGUGGAAUUAAGAAAGCAAUGCAAAUCUUCUCAACGAUAGGAUUGUUUUCACCUGAUAGUGGUCAGCUACCGAACUAGGACGGCAAAAACUGUCUACGCCACUAAAAAUUCAAUACUUUACGCCCCAUAAGCGGCAUGACUCGACACGGAUUAAAAUGUACUAUGGCUUUCUUGCUCAAUGUUGACGUAAAGAAAGAAAAGAAAAACCAAGGAAAAAAGAGGCUCGGUCACGCUUGGUUGAGCGUGCUUGAAGAUAAGCCACAAAGGGAAAAAGGUUAUGGACAAUGAAAAAUCAACUGGGGCGACGGAACCGAAGUAUUGAGAUAAACUUGGCCGGAAAUCAAGCGUGCGAUAGCGAGACAACCAAGGGCGUAGCCUAAAGGCUCAGCGGUACUGUUCCAAUGCAUGUCAUUGCGUAUUAAUUAGAUGUAGAUGGUAAAGAAACAAUUGAGCAGCGUGACUUCCAUGCAAUGGAAGAACGGCAUUUUUCUUAGAAAUCUCGUUUGAAACGCCCUAAAAGAUUUUAUUUCAAAAUUCGUCCUCACCUAUCGUGUCUCCAUUAUCUUCGUCCUCAUUGACUUCGACGCAACGAAUCGAGAAAGGUGGUUGCAGGUGAGCAAAGCCCAAAAGUGGCGGCUUAGAACAACUCGUCACGAACUGAACAGAGUAAUUUGCAUGAUGUCAAAUACGUCACUUCCAUGAAUCCACAAAACAAAGCCAUAGGUAAAAGACGUACUUUUAGGAAGAGACGCUUUUCUUCUUCACUGAGGUCAUUGUCAAGAAUGUCCCACAACCAUGAGAUAACACGGUGAUUGUCGUGAAAACCCCCGUAAUAUUGCGUGUGCUUGCGCAAGUCUUUGAAGUUAAUCGGCCCCUUGUCGUCUGCGAUGAGUCUUUGUACCUAGUCAACCAGCACGAAAAUGCGUUGCAGAAUGAACAAAA